CCUACGGGAGGCAGCAGUUAGGAAUAUUGGGCAAUGGAGGAAACUCUGACCCAGCAACGCCGCGUGAAGGAAGAAGGUUUUCGGAUGGUAAACUUCUGAUCUGUGGGACGAAGAAAGUGACGGUACCACAGGAGAAAGCCACGGCUAACUACGUGCCAGCAGCGGCGGUAAUACGUAGGUGGCGAGCGUUGUCCGGAAUAACUGGGCGUAAGGGGAGCGUAGGUGGUAGAUUAAGUUAAAUGUGAAGGCCCAGGGCUCACCGCUGGAACUGCAUUUAAGACUGGUCGGCUAGAGUACAGGAGGGGUAAACGGAAUGUGUAGUGUAGCGGUGAAAUGCGUAGAUAUUAGGCAGAACACCGAAGGCGAAGGCGGUUUACUGGACUGCAACUGACACUGAGGCUCGAAAGCGUGGGUAGCAAACAGGAUUAGAUACCCCUGUAGUC
rnacentral:rRNA from 1 species